UUAAUUUGAGAGUUUGAUCCUGGCUCAGGACGAACGCUGGCGGCGUGCCUAAUACAUGCAAGUCGAACGAACUCUGGUAUUGAUUGGUGCUUGCAUCAUGAAAUACAUUUGAGUGAGU
rnacentral:rRNA from 1 species